rfam:Microgenomates (Daviesbacteria) bacterium GW2011_GWA2_38_24 TS86_C0009, whole genome shotgun sequence.
GCUCUCGUAGGCUAAUGGAUAAACCUCAGGAUUGCGGUUCCUGUAUCGUGGGUUCGAGUCCCGCCGAGAGCG